AUUCCAGCUCCAAUAGCGUAUAUUAAAGUUGUUGCGGUUAAAAAGCUCGUAGUUGGAUUUCAGCAUUAGUUAUGGUUCACAUUGUGAUACCUGAUCUUUUGUUUUUUUAGAUAUUGUGUCUUUGAUUGAUUUCAUAAGGCUUUAUUUAGAACUGUUACUUUGAGGAAAUUAGAGUGUUUCAAGCAGAUUUUUGUCAUGUAUAUAUUAGCAUGGAAUAACAUUAAGGAUUUUAGCCCAUAUUUGUUGGUUUGAUGGUUAAAAUAAUGAUAAAUAGGGACAGUCAGGGGCAUUUGUAUUUAACAGUCAGAGGUGGAAUUCUUGGAUUUGUUAAGGACAAACUACUGCGAAAGCAUUUGCCAAGGAUGUUUUCAUUA
rnacentral:rRNA from 1 species